GACGAACGCCGGCGGCGUGCUUAACACAUGCAAGUCGAACGAUGAAACCUAGCUUGCUAGGUCGAUUAGUGGCGAACGGGUGAGUAACACGUGACUAACCUGCCCCUUUCUCUGGGAUAACGCUCCGAAAGGAGUGCUAAUACCGGAUACUCACACCGAGGCACAUGCCUUGGUGUGGAAAGUUUUUCGGAAAGGGAUGGAGUCGCGGCCUAUCAGCUUGUUGGUGAGGUAACGGCGCACCAAGGCGACGACGGGUAGCCGGCCUGAGAGGGCGACCGGCCACACUGGGACUGAGACACGGCCCAGACUCCUACGGGAGGCAGCAGUGGGGAAUAUUGCACAAUGGGCGCAAGCCUGAUGCAGCGACGCCGCGUGAGGGAUGAAGGUCUUCGGAUUGUAAACCUCUUUCAGUAGGGACGAAGCGAAAGUGACGGUACCUAAAGAAGAAGCACCGGCUAACUACGUGCCAGCAGCCGCCGUAA
rnacentral:rRNA from 1 species